AAAAGAGGAGUGGCGGACGGGUGAGUAACACGUGGGUAACCUGCCCAUCAGAAGGGGAUAACACUUGGAAACAGGUGCUAAUACCGUAUAACAAUCAAAACCGCAUGGUUUUGAUUUGAAAGGCGCUUUCGGGUGUCGCUGAUGGAUGGACCCGCGGUGCAUUAGCUAGUUGGUGAGGUAACGGCUCACCAAGGCCACGAUGCAUAGCCGACCUGAGAGGGUGAUCGGCCACAUUGGGACUGAGACACGGCCCAAACUCCUACGGGAGGCAGCAGUAGGGAAUCUUCGGCAAUGGACGAAAGUCUGACCGAGCAACGCCGCGUGAGUGAAGAAGGUUUUCGGAUCGUAAGACUCUGUUGUUAGAGAAGAACAAGGAUGAGAGUAACUGUUCAUCCCUUGACGGUAUCUAACCAGAAAGCCACGGCUAACUACGUGCCAGCAGCCGCGGUAAUACGUAGGUGGCAAGCGUUGUCCGGAUUUAUUGGGCGUAAAGCGAGCGCAGGCGGUUUCUUAAGUCUGAUGUGAAAGCCCCCGGCUCAACCGGGGAGGGUCAUUGGAAACUGGGAGACUUGAGUGCAGAAGAGGAGAGUGGAAUUCCAUGUGUAGCGGUGAAAUGCGUAGAUAUAUGGAGGAACACCAGUGGCGAAGGCGGC
rnacentral:rRNA from 1 species